CAAGUCAGGCAAUUUGCCAAAGACGGCACAGCCUGUGGAGGAUGUGAGUCUGCAGCUCUAGGCCCCAAAUUCUGGUCCCUGUUCAGCCUCAAGCAGAGUUGCUCUGAACUCUAGAGAAAACGGCGAUGGCGCAAAAGCCCAGAAUAAGAAGGACUCCUCCGUCCAGGCAGGGGCUGGGCCAGGGGCCACCUGGCUCCAGCGAGCUUCACAGCCUGUGUUGGCCCAACUUCUAACUUCUAGACUCACAGUUCCUCAAAUUGGCAGGGAUGGGGUGGGAGGUGGGUGCGAACUCCUCUGAGAAUCUGAUGAAUGAACGCGCUGGAUCCCCUCUCUAGAAGAUGUCCAUUCAUAGUCCCCUAUACAUACAACCUUGGCUGCAGUUUCAGGGGGGUUCAUGGGCCCCGGAAGUUAGCAAUUCCUUCUGAAACCCAGAAGUCCCCUCGGGGUUUGGAAGAGCAGAGAGAGAGAAAGCUGGAAACGUGUGCGCUGUGGGGGAGGGGAAGCAGUGAGAGGGGGUGCAGAGGGUGCUCAGGGCAGGACCCGCCCAGGGCAGAGCCUCAGGGAGCCUGACCGCCUCCCAGGGUGAAAUUUAUUGGCAUCAAGUGAACUCAUCAAAAAGGCACGGUGGGGCCCGGGGAGGCCUGAAGGUGGGCAGCCUGCCCUCGCCCACCGGGCCAGCCCUAACCCAACCUGGGACUGGGUUUUGUUCUAAUAAGGGAAACAGGUUUCUAUGACACAGCUCAGAUUCCUAAAUCUCCACCUGGAAAGUGGAUUCCGAUCCCUUUCCCUGAAGCCAGCAGUGUCCACAGGGAGAAUAAAAAAACCCAGAGUGGUCCUGGUCUCAAAGGAACCAAACCUUCCACCUGCCAAGAAUAGGGUGGCGUCAGGCUAACGCAGCCGCCACGCCAAACUGUUAAAAAUAAUGAUUACGUCAAGACAACAUCCUCAGAAAAGAGUCCCGACUAAUCUGGGCCGGGCUAGAAUAAACACCUCCUGUUCUGACCUACCUCUGAGGUGAAAGGAUCUAUUUCUUCCCUGAAUUGCGCCCCCAGUUCUGCGCAUUCACGUGCUUGCUCAGCAGACACCCAAACAGAGCGUUUGGGGUUUGCCCAGCUGUUCUAUUUCCAGCCCGUUCAGCUCGCGGCAGGUGCCGCCGCCCUCCCGGCUCCGUCCCUCCUCCUCCCCCUCCUCCCCGCCCCCUCGACUUCCCUUCCCGCUCUUUCUCCCGCUCCUCCUUCCUCCCCUUCCUCCGCCCCUGUGAUCCGCACCCCCUCGCUUCCUCUCCCCUCACCGCCUCCCUAGUGCGCAUUCCCAGGGGCUCACAGGUGUGUGUGGAAAAGCCCGGGGCGCAGCUCCUGACCCCCAACUCUGCGGAAGAGAGGAGGAGUGGAAGAGGCACCGCCGGCCCCCCUGUGCGCUUCUCCCGGCUUUGGGGAGUGAGCACGAAGGUAGCACUGCUUCUGGGUCACCAGGAGGGAAAUGGCAGGGCCAGGGAGUCAUCUCAUGAACAUCCAUGUCCCCAGACCUGCAUCAGGCAGGACACUGCCCCCAUCCCGUCAUCCUACAGUGAGUGGCCCUAGCAAGGUGUUUCUGGAAAAGGGUUUCUGGUGCUUUCUGUUGUGGAAGUCAAGUCUGCCACCUGCUUACUCCCCUGGGACCCUUCCCCUACUUAUAAAUGGGGAAGGACACACCUCGAGUACCAUGCACCUACCUGAGGCUGGCGAGCCGUUUCACACCUUCCUCCUCCUGGCAAAUGUGUGGGAAAUGUAUUAUCCCCAUUUCAUGGAUGAGAGACUGUGCUCAGAGAGGUUAGGUCAUUUGUCCAAAGUUAUACAGCUCAUAAGCCGCAAGGCCAGAGGCAGCCAGGAUUAGCAUUCUGAACAUGGGCAAUAAAUCCAUGGCAGGGGUGGUGCUGGUGCCAAGGGGUCAGCUCCUACCUGUGGCUGGGCAUGGCCCUAGAGCCCCUGGUCGGGUGCCUGGGGCCAGUACCUGGCUGAAUGCGUUCAGGUCAAAAUCAGGCUGUAAAAUCUACUACGUGGGACCUGUAUGCCUCGAUUUCUUCAUCCAUAAAUUGGGGGUGAUUAAAAGAGCCCUUCCCUCCUGGGUUGGUGCUGAGGAUGAAUCCACCUACAGGGCUUAGAGCAGUGUUUGGCCCACAUAAGCACUCAGUGUUAGCUAUUGCUGUGUCAGGAGGCACCAAUUCUUUGAUUCUGGAGAAACACCCGAGCCCCUGAGAGAAGGUUGGAGGAAUGAUAAGAUAACUUCCAUCUCAGGUAGUGCUUUAGAGGAUCCACAGCAGCUGCCCACCCACUUUCUCAUUUAAUUUUCAUAACUCCCUUGGAUGAGGGCAGGGGAGGUUGAAUUCCCAUGUGCAGAUGUGGACCUGAAGCCCAGCAAUAUCCCAGGACUGGACGGGGUCCCCUGUGGAAAUAAACCCUUUCCAGCCUCUCUCUCUCUAUGGUCCACUUAGGCAGAAGGACUUGCACAUACCUGAGCAACCAGAGAGGCCCUUGGAGAAUUAGGGAGGGCCCGAGGCUCAUGUGAGAACAGCCUGAUGAAGGCUGAGGAGGAAGAUGGAGAAGAAGCCAGGACAUGAGCCCCCGGCCCUUCCAAGGGGACUCCAGUGCCAAUCCAAGCCAUUAAUGUCGGGAAGAACCUGGGAAGCUGAAGUGGCGGGGAGGCAGUGGGGGGACUUGGCUGGCACACGGUGCUGGUGGGGAGAGGGAGAGGCCCGACAUCCCAGGGAAUGGUUCUGGACAAGUUCUGAAAUCAGACAUGGCCUAGAUUGACAGGCGUGAAAGGCAGGAGUCAGCAGUGAGCAGCUAAUUCAUUCGCUUUCUACUCAUUCCUUCCUACCGUCAUUCACCAUCCAGCUCCUGAGAGCUGAGCAGGACUGGAGAGAAAAGCAUUAAUAAAGGUGAAGCAUCUGUAAUAAAUGAGUAAACAAGCUACAGGCUGUUCCGUGAGAAGGACUGUAACAGAGAGGUGAACAAAGUGCAGUGAGAGCACAAAGGAAGAAUCCAAGAAGCAGUCUCAGAGGAGGUGACAGCUGAGUGAACCUUGAGGGAUGAAUAGGAGUUUGCCAGGAAGAGGAAUCAAAUGUUGGAAUGUGGAAGGAGGGCAAAAAGGAAAGAGAAGGUCUUCUGUCUAGAGGCAACUCCUGUUGCUUAAUCACGUUGGAGCUUCCUUUUGUGUUCCAUUAUCUCUUUUGUUAAUCAGAGCCAAGCCAGAAUUCCCUGCAGAACUCUGGCCUCUAAUUUGACUCACACAAGGAAGCUCCCACUUUCUUUCUCCUCUG
rnacentral:lncRNA from 1 species